UACGUAGGGGGCAAGCGUUGUCCGGAAUUAUUGGGCGUAAAGAGCUCGUAGGUGGUUUGUCGCGUCUGCUGUGAAAACUCGGGGCUUAACUCCGGGCCUGCAGUGGGUACGGGCAGACUAGAGUGCGGUAGGGGAGACUGGAAUUCCUGGUGUAGCGGUGAAAUGCGCAGAUAUCAGGAGGAACACCGGUGGCGAAGGCGGGUCUCUGGGCCGUAACUGACGCUGAGGAGCGAAAGCGUGGGGAGCGAACAGG
rnacentral:rRNA from 1 species